rnacentral:ncRNA from 1 species
AAUCUUCAGGGCGAGGUGCAAUUCCUCACCGGUGGUAAAGCCCACGAGCCAUUUUUUGGUUGAUUUGGUGAAAUUCCAAAGCCGACGGUACAGUCCGGAUGAAAGAAGAUA